rnacentral:rRNA from 1 species
GGCGGCAGGCCUCAAACAUGCAAGUCUAGGGGGCGUAGCAAUACGUCACCGGCGGACGGGUGCGUAACACGUGGGAAUAUACCUUUUGGUUCGGAACAACGCAGGGAAACUUGCGCUAAUACCGAAUGUGUCCUUACGGAGAAAGAUUUAUCGCCAAAGGAUUAGCCCGCGUUCGAUUAGCUAGUUGGUGAGGUAAUGGCUCACCAAGGCAACGAUCGAUAGCUGUUCUGAGAGGAAGAUCAGCCACACUGGGACUGAGACACGGCCCAGACUCCUACGGGAGGCAGCAGUUGGGAAUCUUGGACAAUGGGGGAAACCCUGAUCCAGCCAUGCCGCGUGAGUGAUGAAGGCCUUCGGGUUGUAAAGCUCUUUUACCCGGGAAGAUAAUGACUGUACCGGGAGAAUAAGCUCCGGCUAACUUCGUGCCAGCAGCCGCGGUAAUACGAAGGGGGCUAGCGUUGUUCGGAAUUACUGGGCGUAAAGCGCGCGCAGGCGGUUUCUCAAGUCAGUGGUGAAAGCCCGGAGCUCAACUCCGGAACUGCCAUUGGAACUGUGAAACUUGA